GACGACACAUUAGACACAGACAAUCAUGCAAUCUUAACCACUUUCCUGCAUACACUUUGUUGUCUGAAGCACUUGAGGUAUUGAUUACAUGUAAAUACCACUAGGCUCCUCAAAUAUACAUCACAAUACAUAGACAUGAUCUUCCACACCUGAUCGGUAUUUUCUGGAACUGGACCGCUUUGAAUUUUAGGUGAAUCAGUACGAAUGCUAUGUUGUUCCUCAGCAUUUCCCCCAUACUGCCACAGGGGGAGCCCAAGGAUUACUCCGAAUUCACUCACAAAUGUUCGCUUCCACUAAGAGAUUGUUUUGUUUUGUUUUUGGAAGACGCUGUCAAUACAAUUGGUUGGCAACAAACAGAAGGUUGCAUGCAAUUUAUAUAAAUGUCCUUGUCCUAACAAAGCUAGCAAGAUUGUUGGCCUAUGUAAGAGAAAAUUGUUGGCCUAUAUACUGAAUUUGAGUCAUAUUGGGGUAUGUUAGUGUCAACAGCUGCUGAUUUCUCACCACAGACAAAAUAGAUGCCGUUUACACUCAUGGGUCAAAUGUGACUAUAAUUAAUUUUAAUAAUUGUUUUUAAAGCAUGUAUUCCUUUCCUGACAUCAACUCUCACUAUCCGGGCACGAGGCAAGCAGUGAGUCUCAUCAUUUCGUCAGCAGCUGCCCAAGGUAAGCAAAUGCUUUAAAAAAAAUGUCCUUAUUGGUUCUUUCCGUUAAUAUGGAUGCUUUUCGUUGCCCGCAGUUAUAGCUAGUCCUACGAACAGUUGAUGGAAUCUUUUGUGGGUCCAAUUAUAGUCCUAAUGUGACGAAAGACGAAAAUAGCUUGGACAUUGGGUGCUCUUGAUUGGUUUUCACUUCGACAGAAUGUGGAGAGGUGGGAUGUACAAAAGGGGUGUAAAGAUGAAUUACUUGGGAGACUAACGUUGCAACACUGUUGCAGCUGUCCAAUUUGUUCGUGCCCAUUGCCAGAUUGCUCACCAACAAGGCAGAGCGUUCUACCUCCGCCAUGACUUGUGAGAAUGUAUUCCUACCAAAUCAGAACCAGGUCACCAAUCGUCAAGUCAAAGCAAAUGAUCACGGUUACAUAGUAAGUUUUCGCCUCGAUAUUUUUUUCUUAUUUUGCAGUUUCAUUCCAACUUUCAGAAACAUGCAUGUUUGGUUCUCUAUCCUCUCUAAAUUGUGAAUCUGAAAGUAAAUGGUCGUCUAUACUGUAUACGCCCUUAAUUUGGCUGAUGACCAGUCUUGCCUAAAGUAGUCUGGCUUAGGUUUUAGCUUACUUACAGCCCUAACAAGAACAAGACAAGUAAUUCAGAAAGUAGAUGGAUGUACACCAUACAGCAAAAAGUGGAAGUUACUUUAACCCCUUUACCGCCAUUUUUGCAAAUCAAACCGCCUCUGCUCCAAAUGUGGCCAAAAAUAGUGAUGUCGUUUUCCUGUGUUCUGUAUUCCUCCACUGCCGGUCAAUUUAUUACAAACACAUACCUCGGAACCAUUUGCAAGCAUUCGUUUUUCUUGUUUCCAGUUGAAGGGUACUCUACAUUCUUUUUUGGACUGCUAAGCUUGACAGGUGCUGCGCCACCAUUUUUGGACUCCAAACUUGGAUAAUCUGUCCAUCUUGAGAGCUAAAAAUGAUUGCAGCUUCCAUCUAUUCAAAGUGAGUAGGAGGACCUCGGACCAGGCUUCCUCCUGUGGACAAUGACGGCAGCUGUCUCAGUGAUAGUGGGGACAGCGAUGAGAAAUUCACCCCUAAAUCAGUUAAAAGUAAAUUUGUAAAGUUUCAGCUUGUUCAACUUGAUACUUGUUGGUGACAUUUACCGAUAUAAGUAUGUGUACACAUGAAAUGGAAAAAAAAGUUUGCUUUUUUUGAAAAGUGAUUUCUUCUGUAUUAAUUGUAAAGGCCAGAUUGUGUACAAAAGUGCAAAGUGUAACGUUCAUCUGUGCCUCAACAAAAACUACUUUGUGAAUUCCACAAGUGAGCUGAAGUGACAGACUCCAUGCUGAAAGGUCAGUCAAACUGAGUGGGAGGUAAGUGAACUUGUUUAACAUAAAUAUUCAGUUUUUAAAUUUUGUUUUUAUAGUUUAUAAUAGUGUUUUAUAAUAGCAUAGCAGUUAUAAGCGGUGUAACUCCUGAAAAUAACUUGUUACAUCAAUAAAAAUCUCCAUACC